UACGUAGGGUGCAAGCGUUAAUCGGAAUUACUGGGCGUAAAGCGUGCGCAGGCGGUUAUGUAAGACAGAUGUGAAAUGCCCGGGCUUAACCUGGGAACUGCAUUUGUGACUGCAUGGCUAGAGUUUGGCAGAGGGGGGUAGAAUUCCACGUGUAGCAGUGAAAUGCGUAGAUAUGUGGAGGAACACCGAUGGCGAAGGCAGCCCCCUGGGUCAAGACUGACGCUCAUGCACGAAAGCGUGGGGAGCAACAGGAUUAGAAGUACCC
rnacentral:rRNA from 1 species